rnacentral:rRNA from 1 species
GAUGAACGCUAGCGGCAGGCUUAACACAUGCAAGUCGAGGGGCAGCACGGGUAGCAAUACCUGGUGGCGACCGGCGCAAGGGUGCGUAACGCGUGAGCAACAUGCCCUAUACAGGGGGAUAAUCCAGGGAAACUUGGUCUAAUAUCCCAUAGCAUUUAGAGGAGGCAUCUUCACUAAAUUAAAGCUUCGGUGGUAUAGGAUUGGCUCGCGUGACAUUAGCUAGAUGGUGAGGUAACGGCCCACCAUGGCUAUGAUGUCUAGGGGUUCUGAGAGGAAGACCCCCCACACUGGGACUGAGACACGGCCCAGACUCCUACGGGAGGCAGCAGUGAGGAAUAUUGGACAAUGGAUGGGAAAUCUGAUCCAGCCAUGCCGCGUGCAGGAAGACGGCCCUAUGGGUUUAAACUGCUUUUAUAUGGGAGCAAUAAGGUUUACGAGUAGACCGAUGAGAGUACCAUAUGAAUAAGCAUCGGCUAA